rnacentral:rRNA from 1 species
UACGGGGGGAGCAAGCGUUGUUCGGAUUUACUGGGCGUAAAGGGUGCGUAGGUGGCGCUGUAAGUCGGGUGUGAAAUUUCGGAGCUUAACUCCGAAACUGCAUUCGAUACUGCGGUGCUUGAGGACUGGAGAGGAGACUGGAAUUCAUGGUGUAGCAGUGAAAUGCGUAGAGAUCAUGAGGAAGACCAGUGGCGAAGGCGGGUCUCUGGACAGUUCCUGACACUGAGGCACGAAGGCCAGGGGAGCAAACGGG